AACGGUGCAUUUAACGGUGCAUUUAACGGUGCAUUUAACGGUGCUGGGUAACGGGGCAUUUAAAGGUGCUGGGUAACGGUGCAUUUAACGGUGCUGGGUAACGGUGCAUUUAACGGUGCUGGGUAACGGUGCAUUUAACGGUGCUGGGUAACGGGGCAUUUAACGGUGCUGGGUAACGGGGCAUUUAAAGGUGCUGGGUAACGGUGCAUUUAACGGUGCUGGGUAACGGUGCAUUUAACGGUGCUGGGUAACGGUGCAUUUAACGGUGCUGGGUAACGGUGCAUUUAACGGUGCUGGGUAACGGUGCAUUUAACGGUGCUGGGUAACGGGGCAUUUAA